ensembl:lncRNA
CAUUGCGUGAAGAGUAGGAGAAUGUUGGAGAGCGAGAGCAGGGAGGGGAAAGAGAGAGAGGGAGGUAGCAAGAUACAAGAGAGUGCGCGAGCGCGAGAGAAAGGGAGGUAGGGACAGAGAAGAGAGAAAGGGAGGUAGGUAGGGACAGAGAAGAGAGAAAGGGAGGUAUGGACAGAGAAGAGAGAAAGGGAGGUAGGUAGGGACAGAGAAGAGAGAAAGGGAGAUAUGGACAGAGAAGAGAGAAAGGGAGGUAUGGACAGAGAAGAGAGAAAGGGAGGUACGGACAGAGAAGAGAGAAAGGGAAGUACGGACAGAGAAGAGAGAAAGGAGGUAGGGACAGAGAAGAGAGAAAGGGAGGUAGGGACAGAGAAGAGAGAAAGGGAGGUAUGGACAUAGAAGAGAGAAAGGGAGGUAGGGACAGAGAAGAGAGAAAGGGAGGUAUGGACAGAGAAGAGAGAAAGGGAGGUAGGGACAGAGAAGAGAGAAAGGGAGGUAUGGACAGAGAAGAGAGAAAGGGAGGUAUGGACAGAGAAGAGAGAAAGGGAGGUAGGGACAGAGAAGAGAGAAAGGGAGGUAAGGACAGAGAAGAGAGAAAGGGAGAUAGGGACAGAGAAGAGAGAAAGGGAGGUAGGGACAGAGAAGAGAGAAAGGGAGGUAGGGACAGAGAAGAGAGAAAGGGAGGUAGGGAGAGAGAAGAGAGAAAGGGAGGUAGGGACAGAGAAGAGAGAAAGGGAGGUACGGACAGAGAAGAGAGAAAGGGAGAUAGGAACAGAGAAGAGAGAAAGGGAGGUAGGGACAG